rnacentral:misc_RNA from 1 species
CCAAGAGAAAUCUUUCAACACUGAAAGAUCUUUUCCUUUGUGUGAGGAGUUUUGAGUAUUUUUUUGUACAAGUGUGAAUUUUAUAAAAAUUUUUGCUUUGGCUGAAAUUAAUAUAUAUAUAUAUAUAUAUAUAUAUAUAUUCGGCCAAAAGUUUUUAAUUAAAACCUUUUUAUUUAUAAACAUUUUGAAUCUGAAGAACUGUUUUAUGAAAAAUUUAUUUA